GGGGAUAACUACUGGAAACGGUAGCUAAUACCGCAUAACGUCGCAAGACCAAAGAGGGGGACCUUCGGGCCUCUUGCCAUCGGAUGUGCCCAGAUGGGAUUAGCUAGUAGGUGGGGUAACGGCUCACCUAGGCGACGAUCCCUAGCUGGUCUGAGAGGAUGACCAGCCACACUGGAACUGAGACACGGUCCAGACUCCUACGGGAGGCAGCAGUGGGGAAUAUUGCACAAUGGGCGCAAGCCUGAUGCAGCCAUGCCGCGUGUAUGAAGAAGGCCCUCGGGUUGUAAAGUACUUUCAGCGGGGAGGAAGGGAGUAAAGUUAAUACCUUUGCUCAUUGACGUUACCCGCAGAAGAAGCACCGGCUAACUCCGUGCCAGCAGCCGCGGUAAUACGGAGGGUGCAAGCGUUAAUCGGAAUUACUGGGCGUAAAGCGCACGCAGGCGGUUUGUUAAGUCAGAUGUGAAAUCCCCGGGCUCAACCUGGGAACUGCAUCUGAUACUGGCAAGCUUGAGUCUCGUAGAGGGGGGUAGAAUUCCAGGUGUAGCGGUGAAAUGCGUAGAGAUCUGGAGGAAUACCGGUGGCGAAGGCGGCCCCCUGGACGAAGACUGACGCUCAGGUGCGAAAGCGUGGGGAGCAAACAGGAUUAGAUACCCU
rnacentral:rRNA from 1 species